rnacentral:rRNA from 1 species
AUACGGAGGGUCCGAGCGUUAUCCGGAAUCAUUGGGUUUAAAGGGUUCGUAGGCGGGUCAAUAAGUCAGAGGUGAAAUCUUGCAGCUUAACUGUAAAAUUGCCUUUGAAACUGUUGACCUUGAAUUACUGUGAAGUGGUUAGAAUAUGUAGUGUAGCGGUGAAAUGCUUAGAGAUUACAUAGAAUACCGAUUGCGAAGGCAGAUCACUAACAGUAUAUUGACGCUGAUGAACGAAAGCGUGGGUAGCGAACGGGAUUAGAAACCCGGGUAGUCC